rnacentral:rRNA from 1 species
UACGUAGGAGGCGAGCGUUGUCCGGAAUCACUGGGUGUAAAGCGCGUGUAGGCGGCCUGCCAAGUCUGCUGUGAAAGCGCCUGGCUUAACCGGGCGAGGUCGGUGGAAACUGGCGGGCUGGAGGACGGUAGAGGGGGGUGGAAUUCCCGGUGUAGUGGUGAAAUGCGUAGAGAUCGGGAGGAACACCAGUGGCGAAGGCAAUCCCCUGGGCCUGCACUGACGCUCAUGCACGAAAGCGUGGGGAGCAAACAGG